rnacentral:ncRNA from 2 species
ACAUUAAUUAGCGCUGAUUUGGAGCUCAGCUUGCGGGCGCUUAAAAAAUGCAGCUAAAUCGAGGGGAAACCCAU